rnacentral:rRNA from 1 species
GGUUUUUAGAUUUUUAUUUAAGAUCAGGCCUGCCCAUUGAUUUGAAAAAUUAAAAGGCUGCGGUAUUUUAACUGUACGAAGGUAGCAUAAUCACUUGUCUUUUAAUUGGAGGCUAGAAUGAAUGGUUUGAUGAAAAAUAAACUUUCUUUUUUUAAUUUAUUUGAAUUUAAUUUUUUAGUUAAAAAGCUAAAAUUUUUUUAUAGGACGAGAAGACCCUAUAGAAGUUAACUAUAUUAAUAAUUUUUUUGUUUUUGUUGUUAAAGUAUUUUUUAAAAUAUAUAGUUUUGUUGGGGUGACAUUAAAAUUUAUUUAACUUUUAAUUUUUUUUUUCAUUAGUUUAUGUUUUUUUUGAUCCAGUAUUUAUUGAUUAGAAGUUUAACUUACCUUAGGGAUAACAGCGUAAUUUUUUCGGAGAGUUCAUAUUGAUGGAUAAAGUUUGCGA